rnacentral:rRNA from 1 species
GAGCGGAGGAGGAGGAGGGCAGGCCUCGGCGGGGCGGAGGAUGAGGUGGGCAGGCCGCGGCGGGGAGUAGAGGGGGCGCGCGUAGACUGGGCGUCGCGGCGGGUCUCUGCCGGGGUCGGGGCGGGGCGAGGUCGGUACCGGUGACGGGGCGGUAGGCACCACGAGGCUGCGGCGGGGUGGAGUACGUCGAGCCAGCGCCGGGGGCACGUCGAGCCAGCGCCGGGCGCAGAAGCACGUCCAAACGGCCGGUGGCGAAAGGAGACGACCGGAGGGAGUAGCAGUCGGUGCUGCGGCGUUGGUGGUUGGAGCUGGCCACUGCCGGUCCGUGCGGGGCCAUCGGUCUAGACCGAGGUGGAAGAGGGGAGGAGACAACGUCCGGAGGAGAGGGACAACUCUAGCCAUGUGUGGCUAAGCAGAGCGGUCACGUACGAGGGCCGCCGCCUAGGCCCGGGCGUUAGCAGGGGUCGCGCGGAGGGCACACGGAGUGCGCCGCCUAGGCCCGGCCGUUGGCGGCGGGAUCACGUCGAGCCAACGCGGAGGUAUACGUCGAGCUAAAACAGGAACACCUGUGACCGGUGGCGCCGUAGCCCCGCCUUAGGGGGAGGAGAGAAGUGAGAAGAGGUACCUGCGCUCGGCUACUCGUGGGGAGACGGAGGGUUGUUGGGGGGACCGGCCGUGGAGGUAGGAGUCGGGCGCUACCAAUAGUUGUCACUCGGCGGGGCUGGGGGCUGCCACUGGUCUAGUUUUUCCCUGCAGUCCAGGCAGACAUAGUAUCCCGCGGGAUCCGACGGCGAAGUGACCGACGCGUGUCAGUGGCAGAGGUCGCGCGCCAAGGUCGUCGUCCCCGGGCCCCUCGCGGAGAGAGAGUGGUGGCACCGUAGAACCUCUGUCGCCGAACGUCAAGCGGUUUGUUAAAAACACAUAAAAAAGUAUAAUAACGACAACUAAACCCACUUGAGUCAAAGAUUACUUCAAACAAUUUAGAGAGAUACAUCAAGCCGGCGGCGGCUGUACUCCAAGUGAAGCGGUACCAUCGGGGGUUUUAGUUGAGUCAACACACGUCAAGGGUCCACGACUCACACGCCAAACUAAAAAAAGGAGGUUUUCUACACGUGACCACUUCAAGUAACAACUACAUAGUGAUCACGUCAAAAGUCUACCCACGAUGAUGGAAGACGUGAUGAAGAAACUAGGUGAUACCUCCGUUUUUUGUUCUCUUCCUUUGUAAGAACAAAUCUUCUGGUGAACACUUAAACUACACAAGUUCUCGCUCAACAUGUCUAAACACAGGAAACUUCCUUUGAUCAUGAACACUUGUUUUCAAGUGAGCUCGUGUCUGCAGGUUUGUCAAACCCACACAUCUAAAAAUCACAAACCUACGUAAUAAAAAACUGUGUAAAGUGAGCGAACGUACACGUCAUUCUCUGAUGUUUUCUUUUACGUCACGUGAGACCAGAUUUUUUACUUCAGGUGAGGCUUCCUGAGAUGUCAUGUGGUAAAUAUCUAUUCACAUAAAUUUUUCACAUAAACAAAAAGUCCAUACUUCACAACAAAAAGUCCGUGUACAUAUAGUAAAAUAAAUUUUUCUCAUAAGGGACCUACGUACGUUCCCCUCAGCUGCCGCCGUGGUUGCGGGGUUCCUUCUCGUCAUCCGUCGUGAAACGUAAAGUCUUUUUUUACGAAAACCUAAAAACGACAGUCAAAACCACAUAAGUCGGGUCUUCUAAAGGAUCACGUCAGGCCACUAAUGAUUACGUU